GCUCAGAUGGUUAAGGGUCUGACUCCUGAUUUCAGCUCAGGUCAUGAUCUCAGGGUUCAAGGGUUCAAGCCCCACAUCUGAGCA
rnacentral:tRNA from 1 species